rfam:Oryza meridionalis cultivar OR44 (W2112) chromosome 7, whole genome shotgun sequence.
NNNNNUUUCCGUGUCCAACGUUUGACUGUCCAUCUUAUACAAAUUUUUUUAUAAUUAGUAUUUUCAUUAUUGUUAGAUGAUAAAACAUGAUUAAUAUUUUAUGCGCAACUUGUCUUUUUAUUUUUUUUUCAUAAUUUUUUUAAAUAAGACGGACGAUCAAACAUUGGACACGAAAAGCCAGGGUUUGUCUUUUU